rnacentral:rRNA from 1 species
GACGAACGCUGGCGGCGUGCUUAACACAUGCAAGUCGAACGGAAAGGCCCUGCUUUUGUGGGGUGCUCGAGUGGCGAACGGGUGAGUAACACGUGAGUAACCUGCCCUUGACUUUGGGAUAACUUCAGGAAACUGGGGCUAAUACCGGAUAGGAGCUCCUGCUGCAUGGUGGGGGUUGGAAAGUUUCGGCGGUUGGGGAUGGACCCGCGGCUUAUCAGCUUGUUGGUGGGGUAGUGGCUUACCAAGGCUUUGACGGGUAGCCGGCCUGAGAGGGUGACCGGCCACAUUGGGACUGAGAUACGGCCCAGACUCCUACGGGAGGCAGCAGUGGGGAAUAUUGCACAAUGGGCGGGAGCCUGAUGCAGCAACGCCGCGUGCGGGAUGACGGCCUUCGGGUUGUAAACCGCUUUCGCCUGUGACGAAGCGUGAGUGACGGUAAUGGGUAAAGAAGCACCGGCUAACUACGCG